GACGAACGCUGGCGGCGUGCUUAACACAUGCAAGUCGAACGGAAGGGCCCUGCUUUUGUGGGGUGCUCGAGUGGCGAACGGGUGAGUAACACGUGAGUAACCUGCCCUUGACUUUGGGAUAACUUCAGGAAACUGGGGCUAAUACCGGAUAGGAGCUCCUGCUGCAUGGUGGGGGUUGGAAAGUUUCGGCGGUUGGGGAUGGACUCGCGGCUGAUCAGCUUGUUGGUGGGGUAGUGGCUGACCAAGGCUUUGACGGGUAGCCGGCCUGAGAGGGUGGCCGGCGACAAGAGUACUGCGGUACGGACCAGUCUGCAACGGGAGGCAGCGGUGGGAAAUAUUGCACAAUGAGCGGGAGCCUGAUGAAGCGACGCCGCGUGCGGAAUGACGGCCUUCGGGUUGAGAACCGCUUUCGCCUAUGACGAAGCGUGAGUGACGGUAAUGAGUAAAGAAGCACCGGCUAACUACGUG
rnacentral:rRNA from 1 species